UGCGUUAUGAUGCGUUAUUUGGAUACCAUAAGGUGCAUGAUUAUUUUCUGUAUGAUUUGUCAACUGAGAAAAUAAACAACAGUAUUUAAGGUUCUGCGCAUUGAUGAGGGGAUAGGGAGAUGAACAAAGGAAAUAAUUAUUGGUAGUCAUUACACAAGUCCUCUUAACCAUAUGGAGAAUUCUAAGAUUUAGCUCAGAGGAGUGAUUGUGUUCCUUGCCAGAAGAUUUUCCAACACCUUUUCUAAGCACGCUGUGGAGUAGAAGAGAUCAUUUUCAAAACCACGCAGGAAGACCGUAUUGACAUUUUACUUCUGAACUCUGUUUGGGGCUACAUUUCUACCCUGAGAGUUCUUAGGUCUUCCGACUCAGACUAUCUACAUCAGUGGUAAUAUCUACAUCAGUGGUUCUCCAGCUCUCAAGCCUUCAAAGUACACCACUGGCUUUCCUGGGUCUGCAGCUUACAGACAGCAGUUCAUGGGACUUC